rfam:Oryza glumipatula chromosome 5, whole genome shotgun sequence.
GAUUUCAACUGAAAAAGUCAUCAAUAACAAAGUUGUAUAACUCAUCAAGAUCUAUAACUUUUAUUUUGGUUAUUUCUUCAUCCGACAAAGUGAUAGUAACAUUGUUCACAAAAUUCACAUAUCUCUCAUCUGGUUUUAUAAACUAUAAUACAGAUAUGUAAAUUUUAUGAACAAUGUUACUAACCUUUGUCGGAUGAAGAAAUGACAAAAAUAAAAGUUAUAGAUUUUGAUGAGUUAUACAACUUUAUUGUUGUUGACUUUUUUAGUUGAAAUC